rnacentral:rRNA from 1 species
GACGAACGCUGGCGGCGUGCUUAACACAUGCAAGUCGAACGGACAGGCCCUGCUCUUGCGGGGUGCUCGAGUGGCGAACGGGUGAGUAACACGCGAGUAUCCUGCCCUUGUCAUUGGGAUAACUUCAGGAAACUGGGGCUAAUACCGGAUAGAAGAUCCUGCUGCAUGGUGGGGGUUGGUAAGUUUCGGCGGUUGUGGAUGUACUCGCGGCUUAUCGGCUUGUUGGUGGGGUAGUGGCUUACCAAGGCUGCGACGGGUAGCCGGCCUUGGAGGGUGGCCGGCGACAAUGGGACUGAGAGACGGCGCAGACGCCUACGGGAGGCAGCAGGGGGGAAUAUUGCGGAGUGGGCGGAAGCCUGAGGCAGCAACGUCGCGUUCGGGAAGACGGCCUUCGAGGUAUAAACCGAUGUCGCCUGUGACGAAGCGGGAGUGACGGUAAUGGGUAAAGAAGCACCGGCUAACUACGUG